rnacentral:rRNA from 1 species
GAUGAACGAGGGGGGGGGACCUAACACAUGCAAGUCGAACGGAAAGGCCCAAGCUUGCUUGGGUUCUCGAUUGGCGAACGGGUGAGGAACACGUGGGUGUUCUGCUCUGCACUUUGGGGGAAGCCUGGGAAACUAGGUCUAAUAUCGGAUAGGAUCACAUUUAGGAUGGUGUGGAGGAGAGUUUUUCGGUGUGGGAUUAGCUGGUGGCCUAUGAGCUUGUUGGUGGGGUAAUGGGCUACCAAGGCGUGGACGGGUAGCCGGCCUCUGAGAGUGUACGGCCACACAGAGACUGAGAGGCGGCCCAGGCUCCUACGAGUGGCAGAUGUGCGGAAGCCUGCACAAGCGGCGCAAGGCUGAUGCAGCGGGGCCGCGUGUGGGAUGACGGUCUUCGGGUGGAAGACUCCUUGCGCUAGGAACGAAGCGUGAUGUGACGGUACCUGGAGAAGAAGCACCGGCUAACUACGUG